rnacentral:ncRNA from 3 species
GUAGGUUGUAUAUUCACACAAUAUUGUUAGUAAUUUUAUUAUUAACAAGACAACUCUAUAAAAACACAGAAAAAAACAGCUCAAAUUUAGAUGGGCUGUUUUUUU